AUUGAACGCUGGCGGCAGGCCUAACACAUGCAAGUCGAGCGGCAGCGGGAAAGUAGCUUGCUACUUUUGCCGGCGAGCGGCGGACGGGUGAGUAAUGCCUGGGAAAUUGCCCAGCCGAGGGGGAUAACAGUUGGAAACGACUGCUAAUACCGCAUACGCCCUACGGGGGAAAGCAGGGGACCUCCGGGCCUUGCGCGAUUGGAUAUGCCCAGGUGGGAUUAGCUAGUUGGUGAGGUAAUGGCUCACCAAGGCGACGAUCCCUAGCUGGUCUGAGAGGAUGAUCAGCCACACUGGAACUGAGACACGGUCCAGACUCCUACGGGAGGCAGCAGUGGGGAAUAUUGCACAAUGGGGGAAACCCUGAUGCAGCCAUGCCGCGUGUGUGAAGAAGGCCUUCGGGUUGUAAAGCACUUUCAGCGAGGAGGAAAGGUCAGUAGCUAAUACCUGCUGGCUGUGACGUUACUCGCAGAAGAAGCACCGGCUAACUCCGUGCCAGCCGCCGCAGUAAAAC
rnacentral:rRNA from 1 species